rnacentral:rRNA from 1 species
AUCGAACGCUGGCGGCAGGCCUAACACAUGCAAGUCGAGGGACCGGCGCACGGGUGAGUAACACGUAUCCAACCUGCCCUUUACUCGGGGAUAGCCUUUCGAAAGAAAGAUUAAUACUCGAUAUAAAGGAUGGGGAUGCGUUCCUUUAGGUUGUUGGUGAGGUAACGGCCCACCAAGCCUUCGAUGGAUAGGGGUUCUGAGAGGAAGGUCCCCCACGUUGGAACUGAGACACGGUCCAAACUCCUACGGGAGGCAGGAGUGAGGAAUGUUGGUCAAUGGGCGUUAGCCGGAACCAGCCAAGUAGCGUGAAGGAUGAAGGCUUAUGGGUCGUAAACUUCUUUUAUAUAAGAAUAUGUAUUAUAUGAAUAAGGAUCGGCUAACUCCGUGCCAGCAGCCGCGGUAAUUC